rnacentral:rRNA from 1 species
UAGGGAAUCUUCCACAAUGGGCGCAAGCCUGAUGGAGCAACGCCGCGUGUGUGAUGAAGGUUUCGGCUCGUAAAACACUGUUGUAAGAGAAGAAUGACAUUGAGAGUAACUGUUCAAUGUGUGACGGUAUCUUACCAGAAAGGAACGGCUAAAUACGUGACCAA